rnacentral:rRNA from 1 species
GCCCUAGUAACGGCGAGUGAAGCGGCAACAGCUCAAAUUUGAAAUCUGGCGUCUUUGGCGUCCGAGUUGUAAUUUGCAGAGGGCGCUUUGGCAUUGGCAGCGGUCCAAGUUCCUUGGAACAGGACGUCACAGAGGGUGAGAAUCCCGUACGUGGUCGCUAGCCUUUACCGUGUAAAGCCCCUUCGACGAGUCGAGUUGUUUGGGAAUGCAGCUCUAAAUGGGAGGUAAAUUUCUUCUAAAGCUAAAUACUGGCCAGAGACCGAUAGCGCACAAGUAGAGUGAUCGAAAGAUGAAAAGCACUUUGGAAAGAGAGUUAAAAAGCACGUGAAAUUGUUGAAAGGGAAGCGCUUGCAGCCAGACUUGCCUGUAGUUGCUCAUCCGGGUUUUUACCCGGUGCACUCUUCUAUAGGCAGGCCAGCAUCAGUUUGGGCGGUUGGAUAAAGGUCUCUGUCAUGUACCUCUCUUCGGGGAGAACUUAUAGGGGAGACGACAUGCAACCAGCCCGGACUGAGGUCCGCGCAUCUGCUAGGAUGCUGGCGUAAUGGCUGUAAGCGGCCCGUCUUGAAACACGGACCAAGGAGUCUAACAUCUAUGCGAGUGUUUGGGUGUCAAGCCCGAACGCGUAAUGAAAGUGAACGGAGGUGGGAACCUUUCGGGGUGCACCAUCGACCGAUCCUGAUGUCUUCGGAUGGAUUUGAGUAAGAGCAUAGCUGUUGGGACCCGAAAGAUGGUGAACUAUGCUUGAAUAGGGUGAAGCCAGAGGAAACUCUGGUGGAGGCUCGCAGCGGUUCUGACGUGCAAAUCGAUCGUCAAAUUUGGGCAUAGGGGCGAAAGACUAAUCGAACUAUCUAGUAGCUGGGUUCUGUUGA